UACGAAGGGGGCUAGCGUUGUUCGGAAUUACUGGGCGCAAAGCGCACGUAGGCGGAUCGAUCAGUCAGGGGUGAAAUCCCAGGGCUCAACCCUGGAACUGCCUUUGAUACUGUCGAUCUGGAGUAUGGAAGAGGUGAGUGGAAUUCCGAGUGUAGAGGUGAAAUUCGUAGAUAUUCGGAGGAACACCAGUGGCGAAGGCGGCUCACUGGUCCAUUACUGACGCUGAGGUGCGAAAGCGUGGGGAGCAAACAGG
rnacentral:rRNA from 1 species